UUUGUACUGCACUUCUGUGCGUAAUAUCACCUUCUGCAUAUUACAAUGAGUCAGUUACGAUUAGGAAUGUCAAUGGGUAUGGAUACCCGAAAUAUUAUCCGAGCCCGAAUCCGAACGGGACGGGUUUACCUGAGCUAAAUGGGUAUGGAUUCGGUUAUGGGUAUAGAAAAUAAAAACCCGACGGAUACGGUAUGGAUUUUGUAUUUAUCCGACCCGAACCUGAACCCGACCCGAACCCGAAUAAAUUUUAUAUAUAUAUAUAUAUAUAUAUAUAUAAAUUUAUUUUUAUUUAUUAUAUAAUAUAUAAAAUAUUUAAUAAUUUUUAUUCCUUAGAUUUUCAUUCAAUGGUAUGGAUUUUUAAAACCCGCCGGGUUCGGGUCCGGCCGGGUUCGGGUUUCGAGAUUUUGGUCGGGUUCGGAUAUGGGUAUGAAUUUUUAAAACCCGUCGAGUUCGGGUUCGGGUCCGGGUACGGGUUUUAAUUUGGUUUUCGGGUUUGGGUUCGAGUUUUAAAAAAUCCGACCCAAACCCGACCCGUUGACAUCCCUAGUUACGAUAUAUUUUUUACGAUCCUAUAGAAAAAUAUAGAAGUAUAUAUUUCUAUAUGCUUUCACUCUAACUUUGUUUUGCCUGCUAGCGCUAGAUGGGUCUCAAUACCAAACAGGUUUUCAGAAUUAUCCGAUCGUUAAAACUUUUAAUUUCGGUACCCCAAUUUUUAAAUUCAUUUGAUUUAUCAAAUAGCUCCUUU
rnacentral:lncRNA from 1 species